AGUGAACGCUGGCGGUAGGCCUAACACAUGCAAGUCGAACGGCAGCACAGUAAGAGCUUGCUCUUACGGGUGGCGAGUGGCGGACGGGUGAGGAAUACAUCGGAAUCUACUUUUUCGUGGGGGAUAACGUAGGGAAACUUACGCUAAUACAGCAUACGACCUACGGGUGAAAGCAGGGGAUCUUCGGACCUUGCGCGAUUGAAUGAGCCGAUGUCGGAUUAGCUAGUUGGCGGGGUAAAGGCCCACCAAGGCGACGAUACGUAGCUGGUCUGAGAGGAUGGUCGGCCACACUGGAACGUAGACACGGACCAGACUACUACGGGAGGCAGCAGUGGGGAAUAUUGGACAAUGGGCGCAAACCUGGUCCAGCCAUACCGCGUGUGUGAAGAAGGCCUUCGGGUUGUAAAGCCCUUUUGUUGGGAAAGAAAAGCAGCAGGUUAAGACCCCGCUGUUCUGACGGUACCCAAAGAAUAAGCACCGGCUAACUUCGUG
rnacentral:rRNA from 1 species